rnacentral:rRNA from 1 species
CAGAUGUCAUUUAUUCGGAAAAUCUUAUUGGAUAACUGCGGUAAUUCUGGAGCUAAUACAUGCGAUUAAACCCUGACUUUCGAAAGGGUGCAAUUAUUAGAGCAAAUCAAUCAUUUUCGGAUGUAGUUUGCUGACUCUGAAUAACGCAGCAUAUCGGCGGCUUGUUCGCCGAUAAUCCGAAAAAGUGUCUGCCCUAUCAACCUGAUGGUAGUCUAUUAGUCUACCAUGGUUAUUACGGGUAACGGAGAAUAAGGGUUCGACUCCGGAGAGGGAGCCUUAGAAACGGCUACCACAUCCRAGGAAGGCAGCAGGCGCGAAACUUAUCCAAUCUUGAAUAGAUGAGAUAGUGACUAAAAAUAAAAAGACCAUUCCUAUGGAACGGKUAUUUCAAUGAGUUGAUCAUAAACCUUUUUUCGAGUACCAAGUGGAGGGCAAGUCUGGUGCCAGCAGCCGCGGUAAUUCCAGCUCCACUAGUGUAAAUCGUCAUUGCUGCGGUUAAAAAGCUCGUAGUUGGAUCUGAGUUGCAUGCAAUGAUUCGCCUUUGGCGUUAAUCAUUGUUGUGACUAUUUGCUGGUUUUCUAUUGAAAUUUCGAUUUCUUUAGUGGCUAGCGAGUUUACUUUGAAUAAAUUAGAGUGCUCAGAACAAGCGUUUGCUUGAAUGGUCGAUCAUGGAAUAAUAAAAGAGGACUUCGGUUCUAUUUAUUGGUUCAGGAACUGAAGUAAUGAUUAAGAGGGACAAUUCGGGGGCAUUCGUAUCCCUGCGCGAGAGGUGAAAUUCGUGGACCGCAGGGGGACGCCCUAAAGCGAAAGCAUUUGCCAAGAAUGUCUUCAUUAAUCAAGAACGAAAGUCAGAGGUUCGAAGGCGAUUAGAUACCGCCCUAGUUCUGACCGUAAACUAUGCCAUCUAGCGAUCCGAUGGGGUAUUGUUGCCUUGUCGAGGAGCUUCCCGGAAACGAAAGUCUUUCGGUUCCUGGGGUAGUAUGGUUGCAAAGCUGAAACUUAAAGAAAUUGACGGAAUGGCACCACCAGGAGUGGAGCCUGCGGCUUAAUUUGACUCAACACGGGAAAACUCACCCGGCCCGGACACCGUAAGGAUUGACAGAUUGAAAGCUCUUUCUCGAUUUGGUGGUUGGUGGUGCAUGGCCGUUCUUAGUUGGUGGAGCGAUUUGUCUGGUUUAUUCCGAUAACGAGCGAGACUCUAGCCUGCUAAAUAGUGACUAGAUUAUUGUGUCUAGUCUACUUCUUAGAGGGAUAAGCGGUGCUUAGCCGCACGAGAUUGAGCGAUAACAGGUCUGUGAUGCCCUUAGAUGUCCGGGGCUGCACGCGCGCUACAAUGGAAGAAUCAGCUGGCCUAUCCAUUGCCGAAAGG